rnacentral:rRNA from 1 species
GGGGGUUACGCGGGGAAGUGAAACAUCUCAGUACCCGUAGGAAGAGAAAAUAAUAAUGAUUCUGCUAGUAGUGGCGAACGAACGUGGAUGAGGCUAAACCGUGUGCAUGUGAUACCUGGUAGGGGUUGUGUGUGCGGUGUUGUGGGCCCUGAUGAGGAUGGCUACUGACGUCCUGCCCGCGCAUUGUUGUUAGGUGAAGUGGUGUGGAAACGCCUGCCGUAGAAGGUGAUAGUCCUGUAGCUGAAGAUGAUGGUGUGUGGGUUGUUGGGUUGCCCGAGUAGCAGCGGGCUCGUGGAAUCUGCUGUGAAUCUGCCGGGACCACCCGGUAAGCCUAAAUACUCAGUGUGACCGAUAGUGGAUAGUACCGUGAGGGAAUGGUGAAAAGUACCCCGGGAGGGGAGUGAAAUAGUUCCUGAAACCAUGUGCUUACAAUCCGUCAGAGCACUUUUUGUGUGUGAUGGCGUGCCUUUUGAAGAAUGAGCCUGCGAGUCAGCGGCAUGUCGCGAGGUUAACCCGUGUGGGGUAGCCGUAGGGAAACCGAAUCCUAAUGGGGUGUC